rnacentral:rRNA from 1 species
UCAAAGAUUAAGCCAUGCAUGUCUCAGUGCAAGCCGAAUUAAGGUGAAACCGCGAAUGGCUCAUUAAAUCAGUUAUGGUUCCUUAGAUGGUGGACAGUUACUUGGAUAACUGUGGUAAUUCUAGAGCUAAUACAUGAAACUCGGUCCCGACCGGAAGCGGAAGGGACGCUUUUAUUAGAUCAAAACCAAUCGGUCCUAGCGGCCGUUUGCCUUGGUGACUCUGAAUAAAUUGUUGCAGAUCGCACGGUCUCUGUACCGGCGACGCAUCUUUCAAAUGUCUGCCUUAUCAACUGUCGAUGGUAGGUUCUGCGCCUACCAUGGUUGUAACGGGUAACGGGGAAUCAGGGUUCGAUUCCGGAGAGGGAGCCUGAGAAACGGCUACCACAUCCAAGGAAGGCAGCAGGCGCGCAAAUUACCCACUCCCGGCACGGGGAGGUAGUGACGAAAAAUAACGAUACGGGACUCAUCCGAGGCCCCGUAAUCGGAAUGAGCACACUUUAAAUCCUUUAACGAGUAUCCAUUGGAGGGCAAGUCUGGUGCCAGCAGCCGCGGUAAUUCCAGCUCCAAUAGCGUAUAUUAAAGUUGUUGCGGUUAAAAAGCUCGUAGUCGGACUUGUGUCCCACGCUGCCGGUUCACCGCCCGUCGGUGUCUAACUGGCAUGCACGUGCGGACGUCCUGCCGGUGGCCCAAGCGGGCGCAUGGGGUCGGCAACGGCUCCUGUGUCUCCGGGAGGGCCUACUCAUACCCGUCGCGGUGCUCUUAACCGAGUGUCUCGAUGGGCCGGCACGUUUACUUUGAACAAAUUAGAGUGCUUAAAGCAGGCAGCAUCCGCCUGAAUACCGAGUGCAUGGAAUAAUGGAAUAGGACCUCGGUUCUAUUUUGUUGGUUUUCGGAAUCCCCGAGGUAAUGAUCAAUAGGGACAGACGGGGGCAUUCGUAUUGCGACGUUAGAGGUGAAAUUCUUGGAUCGUCGCAAGACGGACCGAAGCGAAAGCAUUUGCCAAGAAUGUUUUCUCUGAUCAAGAACGAAAGUUAGAGGUUCGAAGGCGAUCAGAUACCGCCCUAGUUCUAACCAUAAACGAUGCCAGCCAGCAAUCCGCCGAAGUUCCUCCGAUGACUCGGCGGGCGGCUUCCGGGAAACCAAAGCUUUUGGGUUCCGGGGGAAGUAUGGUUGCAAAGCUGAAACUUAAAGGAAUUGACGGAAGGGCACCACCAGG